UGCCAUUAGGAAGUGUGUAAGGGUCC
rnacentral:piRNA from 1 species